ACUCAAUUCCUUCCCUCCCUCUUCACAUAAGCUACGACCGAAACUCCCCUAUAUACCACCACCAUUUUUCAAUUCAAUCCCACUAAUCCAAGUGCACUACAAGGUGAUACAAGGUGAUUUAGAAGGUUUGGUGAGCUCGGAUCUUGAAGGACCUCUACUACAAGCUUUUAUCCACUCAUUUUUCUCCAUUGAUCUUCCCUAGCUCUAAGCUAGUUGUAAGCUUCUUUGAUCCUUAUUUACUUCAUAUUUAUGGUUGUCGUGUAGCUGAUCGAGCUUGAGUUACGAGCAGGAGACGCACUACUGGAAUUAGUGGAUCUGGCGGAUUAUGCAUGUGUCCAGCUGCGUUGUGAAAUAAAGAUGUCAUCCAGGGUAGUAGGUUUAGGAGGUGUAACCCUUACCUGGGCGGGUUACAUGUCCUUAAACCACGUUUUGUUUAAAGUCUUUUGCUGUGUCUCAUGAACACGUUGUAGACAAGUAUGGUUUGUAACUUAUUUUAAGUGUCGACAUUUUCAAACUAUGAUGUUGUGGUAUUUUUAAACGUAAUGAAUGGAUGAAC
rnacentral:lncRNA from 1 species